rnacentral:lncRNA from 1 species
AUGCUGAAACCCAGCACGUGGUCAGGAAGCGUCUCACACAGCGCAGCUCCGCCAGCUCUUCUCGGCCCCGAUGUGAUGCACUGUCCCCUCUCCAGCUUCCCUGUGAAAGCACCUGAGCUGCUCCCGGGCCCCCCAACAGCCUCCUCCACCUUGACACAAGUUUUUCAGAAAGGGACUCGUUUUUCAUUCAAAGGACCAUACAGCCAGGGAAGGGAAAAAAACAAAAAAACAAAAAAAAAAAACCCCAAAACCAAACAAAGCACCGCAUCUUCAGGGACCAGCACCCUUCUUCUCAACCUGCUCUGCAUUAGAGUCUCCCCCCAAACCUCCCUCCCUCGAUAUCCAGUCUGCAGGACCUCUCCCAAGCCAAUAAAUCUCAAAACCUUAGAAGACGGAGAGGAACGAGCUUUCUUUAGCAGCCCAGCCCCAUCUUCAUGGCUCUCCCCACCUCCCUCCCACAGCCAUUUGUCCGUGCUGAUCUUUAGCCUGGAAGCGGGCACGGCACCCGGCAAGGUUUUGGAGCUCCACAUGGACCAGUCCCCAUCCCUCCGCCGCUUUUUCCUUCCCCCUCCGCGGCAUCCCCGCCUCCCGAGGCCGCGGCCGCGCCAUGGGGCCGGGCCCGGCCCGCCCCUUCCUCCGCGCCGCGCCCGCAGCCGCGAUCGGGGAUCGGGGAUCCGGGAUCCAGGGCCGCAGCUCAGCCAUGCCGGUGGGUGCGGGCCGGGCGGCGGGGCCGGAGGGGCCCCGGGGGCUCUCUGGGGCUCUGUGGGGCUCGGUGGGGCUCUGUGGGGCCGGGGACGUGGCGGGGCGGCGGGGAAGGGAGGGCACUGCCCGGUACCGGGAGCGGCAGCGGGGCUCCCCCAGCCCUCGAUGCUCCCGCAGUCCCCGAGGUUCCCCGACUCUCCGAGGCUCUUUCAGCCCCCCGGGCUCCUCAUGCCCUCUUCCAGCCCCCGAACAUCCGCAGGGUUCCCCCAGUCCUCGGGGCUCCCCCAAGCUCCUCGAGGCUCUCCCAGCUCCCCAGGGCUCCUCCAGCCUCUGGGACAUCUCCCAACCCCUCCCCCGACUCUCCCAGUCCUCGAGGCUCCCCCAGCCCCCUGGGUUCCCCCAAUCCUCGGUGCUCCCCUAGUUUCACAGGGCUCCCGCAGCCCUCCAAAGCUUCCCCAGAUCCUGCAGCACCGCCACACCCCAAGGGUCCCCCAGGGCUCCCCCAAAUUCCAAGGCUCCCCCGGUCCCGAACUCCCCCAAACCCCAGGUCCCCCCCCCAGCUCCCAGGGCUCAGGCACAGAAGGGGAGCAUUGA